rnacentral:rRNA from 1 species
UACGUAGGGUGCAAGCGUUAAUCGGAAUUACUGGGCGUAAAGCGUGCGCAGGCGGCUUUGCAAGACAGAUGUGAAAUCCCCGGGCUUAACCUGGGAACUGCAUUUGUGACUGCAUGGCUGGAGUGCGGCAGAGGGGGAUGGAAAUUCCGGCGUGUAGCAGUGAAAUGCGUAGAUAUGCGGAGGAACACCAAUGGCGAAGGCAAUCCCCCUGGGCCUGCACUGACGCUCAUGCACGAAAGCGUGGGGAGCAAACAGG